UACGAAGGGUGCAAACGUUGCUCGGAAUUAUUGGGCGUAAAGCGCACGUAGGCGGCUUAGCAAGUUGGAUGUGAAAUCCCUCGGCUCAACCAAGGAAGUGCAUCCAAAACUGCUGAGCUUGAGUACUUAAGAGGAUCGCGGAAUUCCCGGUGUAGAGGUGAAAUUCGUAGAUAUCUGGAGGAACACCGGUGGCGAAGGCGGCAUCCUGGACCGGUAUUGACGCUGAGGCGCGAAAGCCAGGGGAGCAAACGGG
rnacentral:rRNA from 1 species